AUUGAACGCUGGCGGCAGGCCUAACACAUGCAAGUCGAGCGAGCGGCGGACGGGUGAGUAAUGUAUGGGGACUGCCCGAUAGAGGGGGAUAACUACUGGAAACGGUGGCUAAUACCGCAUACUAUCGGAUAACCCAUAUGGGAUUAGCUGGUAGGUGGGGUAAAGGCUCACCUAGGCGACGAUCUCUAGCUGGUCUGAGAGGAUGCUCAGCAACAGUGGGGAUGAGACACGGCCCAGACUCCUGCGGAGGCAGCGGUGGGGAAUAUUGAACCAUGGGGGGAAGCCUGAUGCAGCGACGCCGCGUGGGGGAUGGAGGCUUUGGGGUUGUAAACCUCUUUCGCUAUCGAAAGGGUAGGUGGAGAAGAAGCGCCGGCUAACUACGUGCCAGCAGCCGCGGUAAUAC
rnacentral:rRNA from 1 species